UACAGAGGGGGCAAGCGUUGUUCGGAAUUACUGGGCGUAAAGGGCGCGUAGGCGGCCUUCUAAGUCGAACGUGAAAUCCCCGGGCUCAACCCGGGAACUGCGUCCGAUACUGGAAGGCUUGAAUCCGGGAGAGGGAUGUGGAAUUCCAGGUGUAGCGGUGAAAUGCGUAGAUAUCUGGAGGAACACCGGUGGCGAAGGCGACAUCCUGGACCGGUAUUGACGCGUGAGGCGCGGAAAGCCAGGGGAGCAAAGCGGG
rnacentral:rRNA from 1 species